GCCCCGCUGACGGAAUUGGUAUACGUGUCCGGUUCAGAACCGGGAUUUUGAGCGUUCGAGUCGCUCGCGGGGCACCA
rnacentral:tRNA from 1 species